rnacentral:rRNA from 1 species
GAUGAACGCUGGCGGCGUGCUUAACACAUGCAAGUCGAACGAAGCACUUUAUUUGAUUUCCUUCGGGACUGAUUAUUUUGUGACUGAGUGGCGGACGGGUGAGUAACGCGUGGGUAACCUGCCUUGUACAGGGGGAUAACAGUUGGAAACGGCUGCUAAUACCGCAUAAGCGCACAGCAUCGCAUGAUGCAGUGUGAAAAACUCCGGUGGUAUAAGAUGGACCCGCGUUGGAUUAGCUAGUUGGUGAGGUAACGGCCCACCAAGGCGACGAUCCAUAGCCGACCUGAGAGGGUGACCGGCCACAUUGGGACUGAGACACGGCCCAAACUCCUACGGGAGGCAGCAGUGGGGAAUAUUGCACAAUGGGCGUAAGCCUGAUGCAGCGACGCCGCGUGAGCGAAGAAGUAUUUCGGUAUGUAAAGCUCUAUCAGCAGGGAAGAUAAUGACGG